CCAGGUUUCGUGCAGGAAGUGAAAACCAAUGAGCAUGGUGAAUUCGAACUUCGAUUGCCUUUCUCAGUUAGUAGAAGGGUGAAGAAAAUCAAUGGAUGUUCAGUGAAAUUGAUUAAAAGCAGUGAACCAGAUUGUAAUGUGGUGGCCUCAAUACCAGCUUCGUCUGCACUCCGUCUGGUGUCGGGGAAGCAUGGAACUCGUGUGUUUUCAGCUGGGACUUUCAGCUUCAAGCCUCUAAAACAACCAAACCUGUGUAGAACAAAACCAAAAGAAGCAAAUGGAGAAAAGGCUGUCCUUGGCCACCCUGAAUCAUUCUUUUUCCCUCCUCCCCUGUUUCCUCCGAACCCCUUUCAGCCUCCUCCGUUGCUUCCUCCCAUACUGCCACCACCAGCUCCACUUAUUCCAAACCCAUUUCAGCCUCCUCCAGCUCCACUUAUUCCAAACCCCUUUCAGCCUCCUCCAGCUCCUCUUAUUCCAAACCCUUUUCAGCCUCCUCCAGCCCCACCGGCUCCACUUAUUCCAAACCCUUUUCAGCCUCCUCCCGCACCACCGGCUCCACUUAUUCCAAACCCUUUCCAGCCUCCUCCCGCACCUCCAGCUCCAUUUAUCCCAAACCCCUUCCAGCCUCCUUCGGCACCUCCAGCACCUCCAGCACCAUGGUUUCAUCUUCCACCGAUUCCAGGACUAACUCCACCACCAUCGCCACCACCUCCACCUCCACCAACCUUCCCGUUUCCUCUUCCCCCAUUCCAUUUCCCACCUAUACCGCCUUUCCCUGGUAUCCCCCCUGCCUCUGC
rnacentral:lncRNA from 1 species